AGAUAAUGGAGUAACCAUUCCUUUUCAGCUUUGGUUUGUUUCCAAACUGGCUGCCAGAGCCAGGAGGGAGCGAAGGCAGUGUCACUAGCUGUGUUGGUCACUGCCUCCUUAAUGCUGAGACUAUGCCCCUUGUUGGUUUGGUAGAGAACAGGAGAGAGCACAGUCCUCGUUCCACUAACAGCUCUAUUCCAGUGCUUCUCUCCUCCCAGAGGUGCAAGGAGUGAUCCUAGAGCCACAGAUACAGCCACGACCACGGAGAGCUUUUGACGUCAGGGGUCCACUUUCUCCACUGAACCCUUGGAGACAGAAUAUCCAGCUUCUGGAGAGAGUGGGAAGGAUAAGAAACAAGUAUCUUGAUAAUGGGAGACCGGUUUAUUUGUUCUCUAAUUGCCCAGAUUUCUUUCAACUGGUAAAACACCAUACCUCUUCAGCAAAAGGAAUUCUUCUAGCAGAGCCCUCAUGGAUGAUAUGUGUCACAUGCCAGGACCUGCAGUUUGGAAGGCAGUGGUGA